rnacentral:rRNA from 1 species
AGUGGCGCACGGGUGAGUAACACGUGGAUAUCUACCUUUUGGUUCGGAAUAACCCUGGGAAACUAGGGCUAAUACCGGAUGGUUCCUACGGGAUAAAGAUUUAUCGCCAAAAGAUGAGUCCGCGUCCGAUUAGCUAGUUGGUGAGGUAACGGCUCACCAAGGCGACGAUCGGUAGCUGGUCUGAGAGGACGAUCAGCCACACUGGGACUGAGACACGGCCCAGACUCCUACGGGAGGCAGCAGUGGGGAAUAUUGGACAAUGGGGGCAACCCUGAUCCAGCCAUGCCGCGUGAGUGAUGAAGGCCUUCGGGUUGUAAAGCUCUUUUGGCGGGGACGAUGAUGACGGUACCCGCAGAAUAAGCCCCGGCUAACUUCGUGCCAGCAGCCGCGGUAAGACGAAGGGGGCUAGCGUUGUUCGGAAUUACUGGGCGUAAAGCGAGUGUAGGUGGUUGUCCAAGUUGGAUGUGAAAGCCUUGAGCUUAACUCAAGAAAUGCAUUCAG